ACGGGAGACACACGGCGGGUGCUAACGUCCGUCGUGAAGAGGGAAACAACCCAGACCGCCAGCUAAGGUCCCAAAGUCAUGGUUAAGUGGGAAACGAUGUGGGAAGGCCCAGACAGCCAGGAUGUUGGCUUAGAAGCAGCCAUCAUUUAAAGAAAGCGUAAUAGCUCACUGGUCGAGUCGGCCUGCGCGGAAGAUGUAACGGGGCUAAACCAUGCACCGAAGCUGCGGCAGCGACGCUUAUGCGUUGUUGGGUAGGGGAGCGUUCUGUAAGCCUGUGAAGGUGUACUGUGAGGUAUGCUGGAGGUAUCAGAAGUGCGAAUGCUGACAUAAGUAACGAUAAAGCGGGUGAAAAGCCCGCUCGCCGGAAGACCAAGGGUUCCUGUCCAACGUUAAUCGGGGCAGGGUGAGUCGACCCCUAAGGCGAGGCCGAAAGGCGUAGUCGAUGGGAAACAGGUUAAUAUUCCUGUACUUGGUGUUACUGCGAAGGGGGGACGGAGAAGGCUAUGUUGGCCGGGCGACGGUUGUCCCGGUUUAAGCGUGUAGGCUGGUUUUCCAGGCAAAUCCGGAAAAUCAAGGCUGAGGCGUGAUGACGAGGCACUACGGUGCUGAAGCAACAAAUGCCCUGCUUCCAGGAAAAGCCUCUAAGCAUCAGGUAACAUCAAAUCGUACCCCAAACCGACACAGGUGGUCAGGUAGAGAAUACCAAGGCGCUUGAGAGAACUCGGGUGAAGGAACUAGGCAAAAUGGUGCCGUAACUUCGGGAGAAGGCACGCUGAUAUGUAGGUGAAGCGACUUGCUCGUGGAGCUGAAAUCAGUCGAAGAUACCAGCUGGCUGCAACUGUUUAUUAAAAACACAGCACUGUGCAAACACGAAAGUGGACGUAUACGGUGUGACGCCUGCCCGGUGCCGGAAGGUUAAUUGAUGGGGUUAGCGGUAACGCGAAGCUCUUGAUCGAAGCCCCGGUAAACGGCGGCCGUAACUAUAACGGUCCUAAGGUAGCGAAAUUCCUUGUCGGGUAAGUUCCGACCUGCACGAAUGGCGUAAUGAUGGCCAGGCUGUCUCCACCCGAGACUCAGUGAAAUUGAACUCGCUGUGAAGAUGCAGUGUACCCGCGGCAAGACGGAAAGACCCCGUGAACCUUUACUAUAGCUUGACACUGAACAUUGAGCCUUGAUGUGUAGGAUAGGUGGGAGGCUUUGAAGUGUGG
rnacentral:rRNA from 1 species